GAUGAACGCUGGCGGCGUGCCUAACACAUGCAAGUCGAACGGAAAGGCCCUGCUUUUGCGGGGUGCUCGAGUGGCGAACGGGUGUGUAACACGUGAGUAAACCGCCCUUGACUUUGGGAUAACUUUAGGAAACUGGGGAUAAUACCGGAUAGGAGCUCUUGCUGCAUGGGGGGGGUUGGAAAGAUUCGGCGGUUGGGGAUGGACUCGAGGCUUAUCAGCUUGUUGGUGGGGUAGUGGCAUACGAAGGCUUUGACGGAUAGCCGGCCUGAGAGGGUGACCGGCCACAUGGGUACUAAGAGACGGCCCAGACUGCAACGGAACGCAGAGGUCGAGAAUAUUACACAGUAGGCGGAAGCCUGAUGCGGCAACGCCGCGUGCGGAAUAACGGCCUUCGGGUUGUGAACCACUUUCGCCUUAGCCGAAGCGUGAGUGACGGUAAUGGGUAAAGAAGCACCGGCUAACUACGUG
rnacentral:rRNA from 1 species